ACGCUCGACACCUACGGGAGGCAGCAGUGGGGAAUAUUGCACAAUGGGGGAAACCCUGAUGCAGCGACGCCGCGUGAGUGAAGAAGUAUUUCGGUAUGUAAAGCUCUAUCAGCAGGGAAGAAAAUGACGGUACCUGACUAAGAAGCCCCGGCUAACUACGUGCCGGCAGCCGGCGGUAAUCUGAGGCGGGCUGGCAAGGC
rnacentral:rRNA from 1 species